rnacentral:rRNA from 1 species
UACGGGGGGCGCAAGCGUUGUUCGGAUUUACUGGGCGUAAAGGGCGCGUAGGCGGCGCAACAAGUCACUUGUGAAAUCUCCGGGCUUAACCCGGAGCGGCCAAGUGAUACUGUCGUGCUAGAGUGCGGAAGGGGCUACUGGAAUUCUCGGUGUAGCGGUGAAAUGCGCAGAUAUCAGGAGGAACACCGAUGGCGAAGGCAGGUCUCUGGGCCACUACUGACGCUGAGAAGCGAAAGCAUGGGGAGCGAACAGG